ensembl:lncRNA
GGACAGAGAACACAUCAUGCAAGUCGGGGAGAAGGAGGGAGACAACACAGUAAUCUGAAACAAGAAGAGGGCCGAGGAGGGAAGGAAAUGCUUUUGCAUCUGUGCAAAGAAAUUCCCUCGCUGGCCAGAGGACCUUGUGCUUUGUGCCACUGAGCUACAUCCCCAGUAGAUCCCUUAAUCUUAACGGAUGUGGAGGGAUGGGAGGUCUGCCUUUUCAUGGCUGCUUCAGGCAGAGGAGGGGCCUUGACCUUCCCAGCCAGGGAGCAAAAGUCUCACCUUGAUCUAAGGGGACAAAGGAAGAUGGAGUCUUGUUCGAUGAACAAUCAUCACUUGAUGGUCUGGAACAGAGGACAAGAGCAUUGGCCUCAAGGCCAAGUCCAGCCUUAGUUGAUGGCCGCUGUGACUGACCUCGGGCCACCACCUCGUGAGAGACACCAAGCCAGAGCUGACCAACCAAGUCCCUUCCAAAUCCAUGGUGUACGGAAGUGGUGUGAGGAACUGCAUGGUCACUGCAUCAUCAUCACCACAGACUACCACGGGCCAGUGUCCCCAGUGGCCAUUCUGAUCUUGCCGUCUGUACAGCGACAACCUCUGUGUGGAAGUGCUGCUCUCUGGACUUUGUCAUUAUGGAUUUCGGUCAUGUUGUUAAUCCUGGGGAUUCCAACUGCACAACAGUGCUUCCUCCAUCACCCCUGAGCCUCUCCAUGCUUCUGGUGGCCCUCACCAGCAUUCCUUAUCAUGUUAGUGAAUGGAGCACCAUCUGAGCUCUCUUGGUCUUACUGAGUAAAUUCACUCUAGCUGUUACGACUCUGGGACACUGUCUCUUUCCUCACACUCCGACAAAGCAGUUCCAGC